UGAGGAAUAUUGGUCAAUGGGCGAGAGCCUGAACCAGCCAAGUAGCGUGCAGGAUGACGGCCCUAUGGGUUGUAAACUGCUUUUAUGUGGGGAUAAAGUGCGUGACGUGUCAUGCAUUGCAGGUACCACAUGAAUAAGGACCGGCUAAUUCCGUGCCAGCAGCCGCGGUCAUACGGAAGGUCCGGGCGUUAUCCGGCUUUAUUGGGUUUAAAGGGAGCGUAGGCUGUCUAUUAAGCGUGUUGUGAAAUUUACCGGCUCAACCGGUGGCUUGCAGCGCGAACUGGUCGACUUGAGUAUGCAGGAAGUAGGCGGAAUUCAUGGUGUAGAGGUGAAAUGCUUAGAUAUCAUGACGAACUCCGAUUGCGCAGGCAGCUUACUGUAGCAUAACUGACGCUGAUGCUCGAAAGUGCGGGUAUCAAACAGG
rnacentral:rRNA from 1 species